UGAAUCUAAAUUUGAAAGGAAAGUAGGAGAAAGAAAAAUUUCAUGAAAAAUCUAAAAAAAGCGACCGUGAGGGAAUUUAACGGGCCAACAAUCGGUCAAUCGAGAAUACCCUAACAUCAGAAAAACAGAAGAAGAAGAAAAGCAAGAAAGAAAGUCAUUGUUAAAUCUGAGGGUAAAGCCCAGACCGUUACAAACCCAACCCAAAACACACAAACUCUCAACGGCUAAGCUAACCCAACACCAGACCAAUCACAGUCCUCCUCUAAAAUGGCAGCAGCGCUCUCCUCUCACCACCACCACCACCACCACCACCUCACCCUCUUCAGAAAACCCUCACUCUAUCACCUCAACAAACCCCUCCGUUCCAAACGCAUCACUUCCUCCUUAGAAUUCAACAUCACUUUCGCCCCUCCUAAACCGAAAUUCCAAUUUCCCCGCCAACCUCCGAAGCGACCCCGCUUCCCUCUCUCUCUCUCCCUCCAGGCCAUCUCUUCAUUCCCUGGAUAAUCCGAGGAGAAGAUGGAAACCUCAAGCUCCAUUCUCACCCUCCGGAGCGUUCCCUCCACGCUCUCAUUGAUGCCAAAACACAACCAAAGAAAAAGAUAGAGGAGGUGAGGAAGGGGAGUGGUGGAAAUGCGAAGACCAAGCUGGAAGUGGAGCCUAGGCGUUAUAAGGCGGCGCGUAGGUUCUACAAUGAGAAUUUUAAAGACCAAGCACAGCCGUUAAGUAAAGUUCUCGCCGCUGCUGGAGUGGCGAGGAGCAGUGAAGAGUUGAUUUUUGAAGAUGGUCCUGCAUACAAUACUCCACGGACUCGAGUUGUUCCUGGGAGGGAUGUUAUAUAUGUUAACUGAAAUCGGCUUAUUUGAUGAUUAGUUUAAGAGUUGGGCAGGACUAGCGAAAUCCAGGACUACCUAAACCACGAUUAUUUACUGUUGGACGACUUGAUGUUGCCACAAAUGGGUUAGUUAUUGUGACCAAUGAUGAUAUAUUGCAACAAUUGAUGGUGCAGUAAGUAAGCGGUUUGCCAUCAGUGAAGGAACAGUCAUUGACAGUGUCCCUUGCACUCCAGAUUCCGUGGAGUUGUUACCACAACAACCAGGUUCAUGAAGGGAGGAACCAUGAGAUUUGAGAACUAGUAAAAAAUGCUGGGCUUGAGGUUGGUUUUAGUUUUUGAUGACACCCUUAUAACAUUGAGAGAAAAAAGAAAAAGAAAAAAACAGAUACUGACACUGUAUCAUCAGCACUGGUAUCUGCAUCCUAAACCAAUCAUAUCCUGUGAGGUCAUGUUGGGGAUUUAGUGACAUAUUUAUCGCUUCAAAAUCUUAAGUGCGGAUUUAAAUGAUAAACAUUCUGUCUUCUUGCAUGCUUUUAUCUUAAGAACUCACCAGGGACAAUGUCAGUAAACAGUUUAAGUAGCACUCAUCGAAUGUUUAUUAUUAAUAGCAACUUCAUGCUUGUCUUGUUUAUGAUAUGUUACUGCUCAUUGGUGUUUACAUCGGAUAUUUCUCCAUUAUUUAUUUUAUCAUUUUUGUUUUCAGAUUCAUGCAUUGAAUAUUACCCACAUUGGUGGUUUCAGACUCCCAUCAGACCUCGGUAAUUACCUCUGAUAUUUUUGCUGUUUUUUAGAACAUUUUUAAGAUUCUCUCUCAUCUUUAUUACUCAAAUCAAAAUUUUCAAAUUGCUAAAAUCAGAAGAAAGAAAAACAGAGCCUGUCUCCCUUGUUAGUUGCAGUAACUUAAGCAGACUCAAUGUAGAUACGGAGAACAUAAAAAAAGAAAUUAGAAUUAAACAUUUGAUACAUACGAGAUAGAUGUUCUGUAAUAAAUGGUGGGUGCCAGCCACAAAUUUACUCUCCUCCCCUGGGAAAGGGCUCACCAGUGUUGCUCAUGGUGAUUGAGGGAGUGUGCGUUUUUUAAAAUGGACUGGCCUUUAAAUUGAAGGGGUUGGUUUAUCCUACUGCCAGAAGAAGCAGGCGAGCUAUGUUGGGGAAGCUGCAUUGCUAGUAUUAAAACAGAAAUGCAUCCAUUCAAAUCUGGAAAUUUCCUGGUUGCAAGGAGCACCUGUCUGCAUAUGAAGGAAAUGUAAUUGUGAGCGAAGAGCCUACAUGUAUUUUUUCAUGAAAUCAAAAUAUUCGCUUGUCAUAUAGAUCAAAGAUGGAUAAAAAGCAGCCUUACUUUUAAGACAGCUAAGGUAGACGCAAAUGUAGGCUGUCGGUCAUCUAGUUGGGCAUCCCGUGCUAGGUUUCAUUCGUUAACACCGAGAGAGAAACAGACAAGGUCCGUCCGGCAACUCCUGUUGCAAUUCUCCUGUGUCUGUUCUUUUCAAUAGUUUUACGUACAGCCUAGCCCGAUGAGCUCGUGUGCUUGCAUGUGCUCAACAAUUGUAGGGUCUCACUUCACAUGCUAUUGAUCCGUGAAUAAAUUCUCAUGUUUCGAUCUGUUGAUUGAUUA